rnacentral:misc_RNA from 1 species
GAAAUGCGAUAAUUAAUGUGAAUUGCAGAAUUCAGUGAAUCAUCGAGUCUUUGAACGCACAUUGCGCCCCCUGGUAUUCCGGGGGGCAUGCCUGUCCGAGCGUCAUUGCUGCCCUCAAGCACGGCUUGUGUGUUGGGCUUCCGUCCCUGGCAACGGGGACGGGCCCAAAAGGCAGUGGCGGCACCAUGUCUGGUCCUCGAGCGUAUGGGGCUUUGUCACCCGCUCCCGUAGGUCCAGCUGGCAGCUAGCCUCGCAACCAAUCUUUUCAACCAGGUUGACCUCGGAUCAGGUAGGGAUACCCGCUGAACUUAAGC